AAGCCACAAGUGACACAAAAUGGAGGAUCGCACCUAAAAUGGAGGCCUGAGCCUUCAAACCGGUUUGAACCGAACCAGGCUCGAUUGGUUCAAACUCGGUUCAGCAUUGCCAAUGCAAUGCCCAGUUUGGUUCUAAUUUGAACCUUCGAACCGAACCAUUCAAACUUGAACCAGUUUACCCAUCCCUAACAGGCUGACACCACAUAGUUCUUUGGAAUGUGUAGAUUGGUCUUUGGCGUAUCAAAAAUCAGAGAGAAAGCUAAGUGAAAUAGUGUGUGUGUGCGUGCGUGUGUGUGAGAAAGAGCGAUAGAUGCUGUAUUGCAAAGACUUUCCAUUCAUGGCACACACACACACACAAACACACAAAACCCUGUGAAAACCAAUAGCCACAUUGCAAAGUGUGCAAGUGUCGAAAGUAGAGUUGAGACCAAGUUGCUUGAUCUGAAGGAAAGUGCCACUGGAAUACAUUUCAUGUAAUUUGUAAGAUGUCUGAAGAGAACAAAAAUCGUGUGGAGAAAUUUACAAAAGGUUGCCAGUAACAAUGCUGUCACAGUUCCUGGAAUGUGCUGUGUGGUCUUUUUCUCUGUGAACCAUUUUGGUUUGAACAAAGCAACUAAGCAAUGAUCUGUUUCUGGAUUACCCUCUCAUAUAAUUCCAGUCGCCAUCGUAAGUCCUCCAGCACUUCUGUUUCUCACAAUCAGACUAUGUGCACCACUUUAUCUUAAUUACGCUGAAUCUCAUGCACCACUCAGUGGUCCAUUCACUCAGUUUGGAGAAAUCCUUCUGAAGCUCUUCAUAAUCUGUUUUAGAUUUUACUAACUGGAGCAAUUUGGUGCCACCGACUGCACUGAGACUGAAUGGCUGCCAGGAGUCCCAGCAGACUACUCUAGCAAGCAAGCAGCCAUCAGAGGGCUGUGAAGAGUCAUAGGUUUCUUCCGUGGCUAGUUCAUAUUUGUCUGGAUCUACUCUUGAUCUCACUCUGAGGCUCCACAGGGCCUUGGGAUAUGCAACACAUCAGAGAACCAGAGGAAACUGGCAAUGGGACAAAGUCUCCAGUAUCGGCACAUUCCUGUGAUCCUUGAUCUUUUUUCAUGGCAACAAUGGCAUUAGAAUAUUACCCAGAUGUUGACGUGAUGGAUGCCCAAGAGAAAACAUGUCUCUGAAUUUCCAGUAAGGAACCGGCCUGACUGGUAAAAGACAGUGGCUGAUAUUACUCUGUUUGGAAUGUCAGCCCUUGUAUGAAAUCAGGCCAGCGCAUGCAUGGUGGAAGGGACAGGAUCGAAUUAUAGAUGGCCAUUGUCUUUGCUGAUCCCUGAAGAGAGGAAGAACUAAAAAAAGGUUCAUCGCUUGCCUAAAGAAACCACUGGAGGGAACAAAACAGAAGCCAUUUCUCCCAUCGUGAUGGAGACUUAAAAUGAGAUCAGCCUUCUGAAAGAAGUCAAGCUUAAUAGAAUCACUGCAACAGACAGAGAAAGGGGUCUGGAGUGCCAGUAAAAGAACAAAAGCUUUGAGAAAAGGGUGCACCCCCCCCCAAGAAAAACCCUAGGAGCUAGCUUGGAGAGGUGGGGAAACAAAGACCUGAGUACAUAACCAAAAGGAAGAACCUUCCAUCACUAGCACAUUUUGCUUUAGGCUUUCAAGUUGAGUCAGAUGAUGAAAGCAAAUACAGGAAAAUUCUGAAAGUGAUACUUCUCACUCAGAAAGCACAUAUUUCAUUGUCUUAAAUUCACACUUCACUGGCACACAUUGCUCAUACAUACCGACCCCACCUGCCAAACACACACUUUCAAAAUGCAGUGCACACUAUCAAAGUUGUGAAAUCUGAUAUCCUCCAAGGCAGUCUUGUACCAAUCAGAUAAAUACUACUGGCAGCUAAGCUCCAGGUGAAAAGACAAGGCCUAGGCAAGCUAGAUGAUACCUAUUGAAUGAUUGGGGCCUGCAUGUUGUUUAAAAAUAGAAAUAGCAGCUGCACAGUGCCCUGAUCUGGAUCAGAGUUACAGUGGGGAAAGGGUUGGGUUUGUUUGUUUUUAAAAACUCUGCCUCCUACAUGAUCCAGGUCCACAUCUCUUCCCCCACCACCACCACGCCUGCAGCUGCUAUUUGUGCUGGGAGAAAAUCUCCCAUUGGUGCCAUGUUUUCUACUUGUAAGAUGUUUUUCUAAGCAGGGGAAUAUUCAAAGCUGUGAACUAGCACCUUAAUUCUGAAGUGCUCCAGUACUUGUGCAAACAAGGCCUCCUUCAUCUCAGGAACACAAAAGAGCUCAUGCAGAUCAGAAGAGUUCCCUCCUGCUCAUCCCACCUCCUACUUCUAAAGCUGCUACAAUCCUGUGCACCCUUAUGUAAGGAACAAUAGCUUCUCUACUCAGACUAGGUCACGUUAGGGGAAUGAUAGCUGAGUCAUCCCUGCUGAGCUGCCUGGGUGGGCUCCUCAUAAAAGUAUUCUGUAUUCUGGUAGAUUACUUCGCUGCCACCAAGCACUUCAAAUUUUUAGAGAUUGGACUGCCUGGGCUAGAGUGCUUUAGGCCAGGGUUCUCUCUUUGCCUUAUUAGUGGGCAAAUAUAUAUAUUUUUUAAGAAAAACACCUGCUCCCCAUGUGUAUGCCUGCAUGUGGUGAGAGCUGGUGUGAGCUGGCUUAGCAGUCCUUUUUGAAGAUGGUUUGCACUAGAGGCUUUCCCCAAGCCUUUCCCAGAGUCAGGCAAACACACUGAGGGGACUUGGAAAAACAAAAACAAUUUAUUAGGUUGCUGAAACCCAGUUGGUCUUAGGCUUCAGGUUUUUGGUUGCACUUAGAAACAUUUAGAGCCAGGUCUCACGGUCAGUGAGACCCAGUUUAGCUAAGCCCACUCUCCCUGCACACGAGCUGGGAGGGAGCCCAGAGUGGCCAGAUCGGCCGCCCACACGAUUGCCGGCUCCGUGAUGGCAUGGCCCCCGGAAGCUCCAGUAUGCCCUGCGCAAGUGCGCAGGGCAUACUGGGGAGACCCCCCAGAGCCAGGAGGCGGCUUUUUGCCUCCCCGCUGGGGGUCUCCUCGUGAGUAGUUGCUCCGCAAACCGGGCUAAGGGGAGGGCUAAAAAAGUGGGCUGGCUGCUUGUAAGCCACCGGGCUUGCCUGCGAGCCUGGUGGUUUACACGAUCAGCCGAUUUUUGCUGAUCGUGAGAAUAGCCCCUUAGUUGGUUACAAGAGUAUUUAGAAUGCUCAGAUCUUUUCUUCGGCAGCACUUAGGGAAUUUAGUUACUCAGUUACAGAAACAGAUACUUAGGAAUGCAAAGCAAAAUAAACAAAAGAAAAUAACUUCUAACACAAGUCUUAAUAAAAAAUACUUUCUCCUGCUCUGA